UGAGGAAUGUCAUACAUCCAAGGUCUCAUGCUAGAUAUGAUUAUAUGUUUGACUUUUUCUUUCUUGACAUCAGUGCACACAUGCUUGAAUUUAUUGGCAAAAGAAUGGUUUUGAAGAGAAUGAGAGCUGUUUGGAAUGGUUUGGAAAGCUGGGACAAACACGUGGGCACUACAAUCCCCAAAGGAGAUAUAAUAUGUGAGCGUCAAGACGAAACACAAUAUAUCAAAAAUUUUGCCCCGGUUUUGUGGUUAGGAAAAUGAGCUGGGGUUUGGAUCCAUGAACAUUAGGGUGAGAAAAUCAAGUAAGACUCGCAAGGUUGCCCCAGUCAUGGGAUUAUGGAUUGAUGAAAUUUUGUGAGAGACUUACAAAAUUGCCCCAGUUUUUUUCGUGGUAUGAGUUGAUGAAAAAUUCGCGAGAGGUUCACAAAGUUGCCCCAGUUUUUCUUCGGCAAGGGGUUCAGUUUGGAAGAGGUAGUGGGCAUGAAAAGGAUCGGCUAGAAGGGGGGCCCUCAAUGGGUUUGAUUUUUCUUUUUGCAUGCUUCUGGCUAGUUGGCAGGAAGAUCCCCUUUUCUUGAGACAUUUAUCUUUUCUUUCUUUUUUUUUCCUUUUUUUUCUUUUAUCGACACAUUGAAAAUCAUUUCCCCUUAUCGCAAAAUUAAGCUUCAUGAAAACUUUAGCAAACAUUAUCCAAUCUGCGUGGACUUUAUUAAGCUUGUAACGUGGCUAGGGGCUAAAAGGUAUUUGAAAGAAAGAAUAUUAAGGCCCAAAUGAAUGUUUAUUGGUUAUUAUUUUUUUUGAAACAAGGGUUAUCAUCUAAGUAUUGAAUCAACUAUUUGACUUUUUGAGCACUUUACUUUUCUUGAACUUUAAUUUUCAUUCUUUUUGCUCGACAUCACUUUGUGAUUUCUUUUUGUUUUUUUUUCUUUUUUUUUUCUUUCUUUUUGUCUCUUUCUCUUGUUCAUUCUCCUUGAUGAAUUCUAUUUGUUUGAUCAUUGAGUGCUCUUCAUUUCCCACAUAAGUUGACUCUUACCUGAUGGAAACCCUUGCUUGAGGAUAAUUUUGAAAAAGAAUUUAUUUUUGGCUCAAACAGGACAACUAUGGAUAUAUAUUUGCUUUUUCGGUAAAAACAAGAAGGCCACACAUCAUUUUGAACUCUGAUUGCCUUAUUUUCAAAAGAUUAAUUUUGCGAUUGGAUGACCUCAACCUGAGUCGUUUUUUCUCUUUGUUUCUUGCUUUUUCCUUUCUAGACUGCCCUUUCGGGUUUUCAAUCUAG
rnacentral:lncRNA from 1 species